rnacentral:rRNA from 1 species
UACGGGGGGGGCAAGCGUUGUUCGGAAUUACUGGGCGUAAAGGGCUCGUAGGCGGCCAUCUAAGUCGGACGUGAAAUCCCUCGGCUUAACCGGGGAACUGCGUCCGAUACUGGAGGGCUUGAGUUCGAGAGAGGUGAGUGGAACUGCGAGUGUAGAGGUGAAAUUCGUAGAUAUUCGCAAGAACACCAGUGGCGAAGGCGGCUCACUGGCUCGAUACUGACGCUGAGGUGCGAAAGCGUGGGGAGCAAACAGG